ensembl:lncRNA
GUCUUUACUAGUGAAUGGUAGAUAGCUGAGAGGUCUUUACUAGUGAAUGGUAGAUAGCUGAGAGGUCUUUACUAGUGAAUGGUAGAUAGCUGAGAGGUCUUUACUAGUGAAUGGUAGAUAUGGCCAUAGCAUCAUGUCUUCCAGAUCAGAAAUAGUCAUUUGACUGGGCCUGUCUGUCUGUCUGUCUGUCUGUCUGUCUGUCUGUCUGUCUGUCUGUCUGGGCCGUUUAAGAAGCAUCAUGUCCUUCCAGAACAGAGACAGUCCUCUAACUGGGUCUGUCUGUCUGUCUGCCUGUCUGCCUGUCUGUCUGUCUGUCUGUCUGUCUGUCUGUCUGUCUGUCUGUCUGUCUGUCUGUCUGUCUGCCCUGGCUGUUUAAGAAGCAUCAUGUCCUUCCAGAACAGAGACAGUCCUCUAACUGGGUCUGUCUGUCUGUCUGCCUGUCUGCCUGUCUGUCUGUCUGUCUGUCUGUCUGUCUGUCUGUCUGUCUGUCUGUCUGUCUGUCUGUCUGUCUG